CCCUAGCCCUGAUGGGAGUGGCAUCUCCCGAUUUAGAAAAACAAGGCUUUUAACUGUAGUUUUUGUUUAUCGGGAAAUAGCGGACAGAAGGAAAUAAC
rnacentral:misc_RNA from 1 species